GCAGUUAUUACAAAAUAAAGGGCAUAAUGCGUUUUUGUAAAGGGUUUUGGUUUCUUUUCUAGUCUUCAGGGGCAGGGAGUUUAGAUAGAAACAGAAAUAUACAAGAGAAAACGGCCGUGGUGAAUGCAACCGUCACCCACCUGGGUGAAUAUACAAUUAAGCCAUCUGCCAUGGACGGUAUCUGGAAAAGGAAGCGUCGCCACAGUGAACAGGAGCUCCGACCGGAGCUGUUUCGACCGUCUGCUGCCCCCAGCACUCCCCCUGCGCCGGUGGUUCUGCGGACCUCCACCCGGCGUAUGAUCGUGCUGCCGCGGACCGUGCUCUGGGGUCUGGUGGUGUCCCUUUCCUUCACGUGCUUCCUGCUGGGGGCGCUGCUGCUGCGGGAGCACUUGCUGUACGGCCGUCACCGCCGCUAGGUGGCCGGGAGCAGUGGCGGAAGACGAUGAUGAACAUUGAACACGGUGAUGUUAAUUGGUUGGAUUCUUAGGCACUGCAGCUAAAAACGACCUUGUGCUUUCAAUUCAUCGAGGAAAAGUGUGCUUGCUUGCACCGCAUCAGAGAAGAGGGCCGAUGUACAGCACGCCCGACACCUGGCGGUAAGACUGCGGGACACAGCUAAUGCUGCUGACAGAUGGCGCGGCCGUGCGAUGCUCGUGGCCAUCUGUCGGCGCGACUCGCAGUCACUGACUCACCGGACGCGCUGAGUGCAGCGUGCGGUCUGAAGGAAGUGACGUCAUGCCGUAGUAAUGACGUCACGGGUGGUUACACAGACUAAACGCUCGAACAGAGCCGUGACGUGAGUCGUGAGUGUGAUCCGGCUCGGGGCAUUGGGUACGCUAGUCAAUCGGUCGUUUACCCGAGUGUAGUUCGUUUGGAAUGGCCCAGUGUAGCUUCACUUGCGUCCGCCGAUAGUCGUUUCCUGUUUGGAUGUGCUGUGACUUCGGAAUGUAGGUAUGUGAAGCUUGAAACACCCUUGUGUGUAUAUGGCACAGGUGACGAAUGUGACUAUGUGCCUUUGCAAACGCGUGCAUAAGCUAUGAUGAAUUUACAAACGGCGUAUUACGAAUCUCAGGUCUGUGAAACUUCUGGGAUGACAUGUAACUUGGGACGUAGGUAUUCAAUUACCACCAGACCUCCAGGGCGGUCGUGGAUUUUGAUUCGAUUGCGAUGUAUGUACUAUGUGUCAUCCACGAUACAGUGCCUAGUUGUCCCGCUCUUUGUCAUGGUAAAUUGUGUGCCUUGCUGUUUCGCACGUGGCUGAAAGCCAACACCUCUAGGUGUAGACUGUAAAUGCCUAGCGAUCGCGAUCCUCACGUCAUCCCAAUUUCUAGUAUUUAUCGUGCAAUAAGCCUGGGGAAUGUGAGUCAUCGGUUGUGCAACUGUUGCCACUCUAGUCAAAUACAAUGAUGUCACGCCAAAA